AGUGAACGCUGGCGGUAGGCCUAACACAUGCAAGUCGAACGGCAGCACAGUAAGAGCUUGCUCUUACGGGUGGCGAGUGGCGGACGGGUGAGGAAUACAUCGGAAUCUACUUUUUCGUGGGGGAUAACGUAGGGAAACUUACGCUAAUACCGCAUACGACCUACGGGUGAAAGCAGGGGAUCUUCGGACCUUGCGCGAUUGAAUGGGCCGAUGUCGGAUUAGCUAGUUGGCGGGGUAAAGGCCCACCAAGGCGACGAUCCGUAGCUGGUCUGAGAGGAUGAUCAGCCACACUGGAACUGAGACGCGGUCCAGACUCCCACGGGAGGCAGCAGUGGGGAAUAUUGGACAAUGGGCGCAAGCCUGAUCCAGCCAUACCGCGUGGGUGAAGAAGGCCUUCGGGUUGUAAAGCCCUUUUGUUGGGAAAGAAAAGCAGCAGGUUAAUACCCCGCUGUUCUGACGGUACCCAAAGAAUAAGCACCGGCUAACUUCGUG
rnacentral:rRNA from 1 species